UACAGAUAUCCAUCGAGAUCAACUUUGAAUUCUUCUUCUCAUGGUAGAUCCUUCUUCUUCAAGUAGAAUUUUAGUCCUUUAGAAUAUUGAUUAACUCUUUGAUCUUAACUGUGAACUCAACUUUUGAACUGCAGCCUUUUUUUCUUCAUUCCUUACUGUAGAAGAAAGUCUCCACAACUCUUGGCAUGUAAAAGGAUGGAUGCCCAACCCUUGGGCAUGGAAAAGAGAAGAGGGAGAGAGGGUGUGGCGUGGAGAAGGAGAGAGGAGUUUUUGUUUCACA
rnacentral:lncRNA from 1 species